rnacentral:tRNA from 1 species
AGUAAAAUAAGCUAAUCGUAAGCUUCCGGGCUCAUACCUCGGCCAUGAGACUAUCUCUUUUACUA